rnacentral:rRNA from 1 species
CCUACGGGAGGCAGCAGUGGGGAAUAUUGGACAAUGGGCGAAAGCCUGAUCCAGCCAUGCCGCGUGUGUGAAGAAGGCCUUCGGAUUGUAAAGCACUUUAAGUUGGGAGGAAGGGCAGUUACUUAAUACCUGCACUUUGACGUUACCGACAGAAUAAGCACGGCAUCAGG